CCGUAGAUCCAAGCAAACUUUGACACCUAUUGCAAUACAGGCCUAGCUGUAGUGCCUGUUUAAUUGGUUGUAUCUAUGUUCAAUGCCUCUCUUUUCAGGUUCUAGGAACUGAUGAAUUAAAUGCACAUUUGAACAAAUAUCAUUGAGAACUUUGAUCCUCAGCUUGAAGCUCCAGUUGGAAGGCACAGCAGGAAGCCAUGGUCCAGAUUUUUGAAUGCAGAUAAUCAGCAUCUAGUUUCUCCAGAGGCCAUCUACAUUUUUCUUCUUUAAUAUCUUACAAUGAUUUUGUCUUAUUAAUUUUGACAGAAUUGUUAAUUCAAUUGGACAUUUUUUGCGUGAAAUCAGGCCAUCGAUUUUUUGGACAAGCUUCUUCGCUAUGAUCACCAGGACAGGCUUACAACCAAGGAGGCAAUGGCCCAUCCUUACUUCUACCAAGUAAGAACUGCAGAAAAUAAUAGAAUGCGCAGUCAGUAACUGUCUUUUGUGAAAGCCCCAACUUGGACCUCCCUUUAUGUCUCGUUGCUUCAUGAUCAGUCGUAGUUUAGUCUCCUGAUAACAAAUGCCCCAAUUGCUCUCCAUUUAUCUGGAGACAAAAGCUCAUAAUUCUGCUUUUUCUUCUUUAAUUUUACCAGUUCUUAUAUUAUUAAGCGAGUCUAAAAUGUCAGUGUCCUAAGACCGCUGACAUCAAAGUACUGGCAAAAUAUGCUCAUGCCUAGCUAGCAAAAGGCUCAAAGUCUUACUAUGGUUAUCUUACGGCAUCAAGCU